ensembl:misc_RNA Metazoa_SRP Metazoan signal recognition particle RNA
GCUGGUCGCGGUGGCACGUGCCUGUAAGUCCCAGCUACUUGGGAGGCUGAGGCUGGAGGAUCUCUUAAGUCCAGGAGUUCUGGGCUGUAGUGUGCUAUGCGGAUAGGGUGACCGCACUAAGUUUGGCAACAAUAUGGUAACCUCCCGGGAGAGGGGGACCACCAGGUUGCCUAAGGAGGGGUGAACCGGCCCAGGUCGUAAUGGAGCAGGUCAAAACUCCCAUGCUGAUCAGUAGUGGGAUCGCACCUGUGAAUAGCCACUGCACUCCAGCCUGGGCAACAAAGUGAGACCCCGUCUCUA